rnacentral:lncRNA from 1 species
UUUUAAUAUUUAUUUUUUAGUUCUCGGCGGACACAACAUCUUUGUUUGUAUGUGGUGCUGAGGAUUGAACCCGGGCCGCACGCAUGCCAGGCGAGCGCGCUACCGCUUGAGCCACAUCCCCAGUCCCAAAAUUCUUAAUUUUUUAACAUUAAAUGGCUCCACAAAUUCCAUAGCUGGUCCCAUCAGGUGAGGAUCUUUACACAUAAAAGGCCCUUGUGCCUGGGACAUGGACUUACAGGGUGUUGGAACAGCCACCUGGUCCUCCCCUCAGCAUCCCAACCCUGCACCCUCCUGCAAACUCUCUGAUGAAGAGAAAGUCUCUGGAAAGGCCUCUUCAGGAAGGUGCCAGAUGGUGAGUGCAUCUCCAAGAGGAGGGAUAAGGAACAGCACUGACCUCAGUGGGUGGCAGGUGGGGAAGAAAGCAGGCAGGGCCUGGAGGGGACACACUCUGCCCCUUCAGGCCCUGGGUGGUCUCCUUCACCACCGGGGCAGUGGGCGGGCUAGCUGGUGAUCGCCUGGGGCUGGAGCUGCCAUUGGAGCAGGCUGACAUCUGAGAUGGGAGGGCAGUGAGUGGGUGGGAAGGAGGCCGGGAGGUGAGGCCAGCGGUGGGGAAGGCUCCUGGUGCCUCAGCCAGCCGGGCCAGCCCAGGCCCGCUCCGCCUUCUGGUCUCCAGCCAGUCGGUAAUUCAGAAAUUCCUCCAGAUCGCUGCCGGGGCCUGCUGGGCCUGCUCCUCCCGCCGGGCCAGCCGCCGGGCCAGCAGACGCCUGGCUUCUACCUCCCAGAUGCGCCCAGCCUCCCUUGGCACUCACAGCUGGGCCGGGGUCAGGCGGUGCCGGGAAGGGAGCUUGGGGGAGAGGAGUGGGCCUGGGUCCCCGGCCAGGGCUGGGAAGGAUCCAGGCUCCACAGAAGAGGGUGGGAAGGGACCCCACCCAGUGUGUGUCGGGGUGGAGGCCAUGGAGACUUAACCUCAGGAGCUGCCUGAAGGCCGGCCUGGACCCCAGCCCGGCUCUCGGAAGCCAGGCCAGCAGAGCCUGCCCGCCCUGGCAGAGACCGGCCGUCGGAGAGCCAGGGCCCCGGGCAGCACGGCCUCCACACCCCACCUCCUGCCCCAGAGGCUGAGAACUGGGCCGGGAGACUCCUUCCCAGGCAUCUCCCAGGAUCUGGGCCACUAAUCCCCUCUCCAUUAAAAUGCAAAUGUCCCCCAGCCUGGAGGGGGUGAGCAGGCUCCAGGCUUUCAAGCCUCCCAGUCUCGGGGUUCCGAGGCCAGACAACUCCAGUAUGGCCCCCAGGGCAGGGAGGGCGGGGUCCAGCAACCCGGGCUGCAGCCGACUUGCUUGUGUCAGGGGGGAACCCGAGGAGCAAAGGAGCAGACGAGCUUCCCAGCUUCAAAGUCGUGCCGGGCAGGCCCCCCGCCCACCGGCCCACAAAGCUGUUUUCUUUUUGCAUAUUUGUCCCAGGCAGGGAAAAUGAGGGCUUGGAAUGUUAUGUGGAGCCCACAGGCAAGGCCCUGUGGCCAACUCCCUGAGGCCCUCCCGGACAGCACAGCAGAGGCCUGGUGCACACAGUUCCAGCCUGUACCUGCUGCACCUUCCCAUUCUGUAAUGGGGAAAGAGCCCCCUCCCAGGGUCACUGUGAACAUGAUACCGGUUUUGGAAAUCAGGUUGAAGAUUCAACACCUGAGAAAAGCCUAGGCAAGUGCAGCAAACAAGUUUUACUUAAAGGAUAGAACAGAGACAGACUUCUAGGGGUGGGGGCAGAAGGGGAUCCAGAGCUGGCAUCCCGUCUGCCAGACCCAAAGGCCGGACGGGAACUGCCCAGGGGGUACUCAUUAACAACUCCUUGCUUCAAGGCAGGUGACCUUGGCAGCAGGUGAGGUGGACGGGGAGGUGUCCUGGAGGUAGUAGCAUUCCAUCUCCUUUCCAACCAGCCCCCAUCUUCCCAACCCAUCUACACUGGCUGCCAGUCCUUUUGCUCCUGCCUCCAACACAGGGUUCAGUAAGGGUCAUGGGGGACAGGGGAUGGCAGGAAGCCCCCAGUGAACUGACCCCGCCUCCUUCCACCAGCUGCAUCCCCCAUGUAGCCACCACCUAGUGGCAGUCCCAGAGCCAUUUCUCAGACUAGAGGUGUUCCCAGGCCAGAAGGAACUGGAAGAGCUCCGCAGGCCCCAACUGAGCUCUGGGCCCUGGUCUUUCCUGGGGCAAAGUUGAGUCCUUUCUAGUUGCCUUCCACUGUUGAAGAAUUUUUAAAGUACCUGACUCCUGGGGCGUGGUGCCCCCCCAUCCCCGAAGGAUAUGGAAAAUAAGUCCAAGGAUAGUUGUAAAGGAAUACCAAGGAACUCACACCUGACUCCUAAUGGGUCAGCUGACCCCAGUACAGUCAUUCCCAGGAAAUUCCACAUUCACAUUCCGGUUCCACCUUAGAGAAUCAGCCGACCCUAAUACACUGAACCCCCAAAACUACCCUCCUGUCCCACCCUUAACGAAACCUAUAUAUAUAAAUCAGACUCUUGCUUUAGCCCACUACCAUUUUCUGCCCUGAAGAUGAGCCAUGCCAGGUGCCUGGCUCAACGGCUGAUUGACCCUGCCGCUCCCUGCAUACUGAACAAAGGAAAGCCUGCUGAUCCGAGGUUUGCUACCCUCUGGGCCUUCACCAGGGACGUGUCAUUCGUGCUAACAGCGCACACCAGGAGGAUCUCUGAGUUUAAAAUGGGCCUCAGCAAUUUAGUGAGGCCCUGUCUCAAAAUAAAAAAAAAAAAUACAAAGGACUGGAGAUGUAACUCAGCAGAAGGACCCCUAAGUUCAGUCCGCCAGUACCAAAAAUAGGUAAAUAAAUAAAUAAAUGAAAGUACGCGACUCACCUCCAGGUGUAUCAAAUCUACAAAAGCAGCAGAGCCUAAUCUUCCUUCCUGGGUCCCUGUAAGAGCCAGGGGGGUGCCCUGGAGGCCUACAGCUUCUGCACCUGCAGGGCCCUUGGCAUUCAAAAGCCAAGCCCAGCCCCUCUGUCUGCCCUGGAAGGCACCUCGGCCAGCUGCUUCUGCCAGGCCACCGAGCUGAAGGAGCUUCUGCUAACAUGGUCCCCACUUCCUGCUGCUGCCUGCUUCUCAAAACCCCAGCUCUCUCCGCUCAUCAGUUUCCCUCUAAGCAGAACUAUCCCUAAUUUUGCUCUACUGUUUUGAAUCAGUUCAGCCUGAAGCCCCACCCUCAGCCCAGACCAGUAGCCAGGAGCUCAAUACUUCCUGCUUCCUAGGGACCCCUCGACCACUCCCACCUGUCUCCCUGGCUACCUGACACUACAGUCACUAAGGGCCCAAGGCCUCUGCAAAGUGCCUCCCACAGGAACUUCUAGGCCUGGAGAGGUGGUAUGAGUCUAUAAUCCCCGAUAACUCGGGAGGCUGAGGCAGGAGGGUGGCAAGUUCAAGCUAGACUGGGCAAUUUAGCAAGACUAUCUCAAAAUCAAAUGAAAAAGGGCUAGAGUGUAGCUCAGGUCAGAGCUCUUGCCUACCAGGUGUGAGUCCCUGGGUGCAAUCUCCAGUACUGAAAAAAAGCAAAACCUAACUCCUGGAAACUUGAGGGCAUCUCACAUGUGCUUAAGGAUGAGCCCAGCUUAUCCCCAUUUUGGUGCCUGGGGUCAACUCUUCUGCCCCAUGCUGUGGGCACCAUCCACACUCUAUCCCACUCCAGUGGACCCUCCCCACCAGGAUAGGAUCAUGUUAAUGUCCACACAUCCUGUGGCAGGGGUGACGGUCUCUCUCCCCUUGCUGGGUCUCUCUUUGGUAAAGGACCCCAAAGCUGGGUAGCUUGUCACCGUCCCCCACACCAAGACACAGACAAUUUUUAAUGAGAGUUCUUCCUCUUAUUUAAUAGACCACACCCCUUCAUUUCUUCCCGUAUUUUCCACAGGGCUCAAAUGUGCACCUCAGGAGCUGAGCCAAGUCUAGUAGGCCCCAUGGGCAGUACCUAGAUCACCCUCCCUCCAAUGCCACAAGGCCCUGGGCCCAGCACAUUUCCCUGGAAAUGAGUCACCCCCAAGUGUUCCUCCACUGCUCCAGCAAACAGGUGCUAGAAGGACUGCCCUUCCUGCACACAGACACCCCCUGGACCUAAGCUGGGACCUCACACACACUCAUCAGAGCUCCCUGGCAUGGUGUCCUCCUGCCACAGAUAAAGAACCUGGAGCCCAGGUAGGACUGUGUCUCUGGGCUCACACACUGGGUGGUGCCAGCUCAAAUCCAGAGCUUCUAACUGUCCCCCAAGUGGUCUUUCUUCAACACAGAGGCCCUGGGCCCACCAGGAAUGGCAUGCAGGCGUUUGGACCACCCGCACGCCCAGCUGCAGCAAUCAGAAUGGACAUUGGUACUGAGUCAGGGUCCACCUCAGGGGAGGUGGCCUUCUAGUUGGUAGAUCUGGGGUAGGUCCUGGAGAUCCUGGAGAGAGCAAGCUGGGGCAGUCAGGGAGCAUUUGGGCUGUUUUAGGAGCAGCUGGUUUGCCAACUGGAAUCAAAGUGUUUUAACAUGGUUGGGCGAAGUGGCGCCCGCCUAUAGUCCCAGCCUCUAGGGAGGCUGAGGCAGGAGGAUGGCAAGUUCAAAGCCAGCCUCAGCAACAGCAAGGCGCUAAGCAACAGAGUGUGACCCUGGGUCUAAAUAAAAUACAAAAUAGGUCUGGGGAUGUGGCUCAGUGGUCGAGGGCCCCUGAGUUCAAUCCCUGGUACCAAAAAAAAAAAAAAGUAUUUUAACACAUUAACAUACUCUACUGGAGACCAGGAACACCCCAGGCAGCAGAGCCUCUGGUAAGAGGCCCCUCCUACCUCUUUAGAGCAGGCUUCUUGGGAGAUCAGAACCUGUCCUCCCUCCCUCUCCGACCUGGGGAGAUGUGGGAGGAGGAAAGAAGGCAGUGAGAACCAAAGGACAGGAACCAGCCUUCAGGCUCUGGACUAGGCUGAGUCACCAAAUAAAGAAAAUGCACAGGCUGCCCGCCCUUCCCUGUGGCCAGCAGGCCCCAAGAGCACAAUCUGCUGCUGUACAGAGCCACUGCCAGGAAGUAGGGUGCAGGCCCUUCUCUGGGCUAUCCACGCAUAACUGGACUGUCUGGUGUGGUCCCUGCAGGGAUCCAGCCCGGCCUGGAGGCUCCAGGUAUAGUUCCUCAUCCUCCGUCCAGGCAGAAGUCGGCUCCCUCGGGCACCUGUCCUCCUCCUCAACACCUGACCUCUUGGGGACAGGUUGGGAAAGGGGCAAUUCUAUUGCCUGAUGGAAUCUCUCAGUUUUGUCCAUAUUCAAGCUUUUAAAAAAAAUCUGAAGGACAAGUCUGCCGUCUUUAUCCACACUCUUGCAGCUCUCAGUGGCAGAGGCGAAUGCUGAGGUCCGAUGCCAGCCAGCACCAACCUUCUCACAACCCCAGGGAAAGGGACUGAGGGUGCAGCCACCCGCGGGGGCCAGUACUGAGCCCUCAGAACCUGCAGUGUCCCAGGCUGUGAGCUCAGCCUGGAGCUGAAUUGUGACUUGCAGAGGGGCAUGAGAAAGACACAGCCUCUCCCUGCUACACCCUGUCCCCUGAGAGGCCAGAAGGAGCCCCCCUCCUGCCCUGCAGCCCAGCUUCCUCCACUCCCCUUGGGCCAGCUCCUUUCAGAGAAACACAUCUGGACCCGGCUCUGGCUCUCCCUCCCGCCAGGCUCUGCCCUGGCUCAGAAUGGGAGCUGAGUCAGGUGGUUUUCCCUGCCUCCAUCGUAGACCACCUGUGUCACCUCCUGAAAAACUGAGCCAGUGUUUGCUCACCUGUAAAAUGGGAACGAUGGUCACCCUUCCCUCCAUGUGUGAGCAUUAGACAAGACAGACAGGCUCGGUGGCGCCCACCUGUCAUCCCAGCAGAUUGGGAGCCUGAGGCAGAGGACCGUGGGUUCAAAGCCAGCCUCAGCAAAAGCUAAGCAGCUCAGUGAGACCCUGUCUCUAAAUAAAAUACAAAAUAGGGCUGUGAAUGUGGCUUAGGGGUUGAUUGCCCCUGAGUUCAACCCCAGGUAAUUAAAAAAAAAAAAGAACUGGUCUCAGGCUGGGGAUAUAGCUCAGUUGGUAGAGGGCUUGCCUCACAUGCACAAAGCCCUGGGUUCAAUCCCCAGCACCACCAAAAGAGAAAAGGAAAAAAAAAAAAAAGAACUGCUCUAUAUUAAAUUAUAAAUUAGCAAACAAUUGGCCCUUGACACUCUGAAUUGGAGCAGCUCUGUUCCAGAUGUCCUCUCAUCUCGUUCUCACCAACCUUUACAUCAACACGUUCCAUCAAAAUGUGCCACUUGGGAGAGAGGGCUGGGGGGUAUGGCCACUGACCCCAGCAGUGCUCCUGACCCCGGCCAGGUCUCCCACCUUGGCAGUCCAGCUCAGAGCUGUCCUUCUCCACAAGCCCUUCCUGUCACCCACUGCCAGCCUAGUCUCCUCCAGGACUUUCUGUCGUCCACUCCCCUCCCCAUGCUCAUUUGGCAAUCUGCCUAAUUAAAAAAAUAAUAAUAGCUGAGUGCAAGACUUUGUUCUGUGGAAUCCAGCAGAACUUCCUGGAACUCAGCCCCAUGCUGUCCUCCCUGGCUACUUCCCAGGCCCCUCUUUCUGUGUGCGGAGGCCUCGCCUACUGGCUUGGAGGCACGGGGCACGGUGCCACUGUCCACAGUUCUUGUACCCACCCCUGCUGGACACCAGACCCUGCAGGUGGUAGAGGUGGGACAAACAGAUCCAGCCAUGGGCUGCCCCAGGGGUUUGCGGCAGAUGGGAAAGAAAGGAGCUGAGGACUUCUCUCUCUCUUUUCUUUGGUUUUGUCUCUAAGCCCUGCAACCCUGCUGCUUUUUGCUUUAAAACAUAUUGAUUUAAAUAUUUAUAUGCAUGAGGCAAAAAAUUCAAAACCUAUGGAAAGCAGACAACGAAAAGGGAGGGUGCAGCCCGUUGGCCCAGACCCUCCAAUCCCACCCUGCACAGCCAGCCGCCCUGCCCCCCCACAGCUGUCCUCUGCAGCUCCAGGGACUCUGAGCCAGCCGUCCCAUGUCCCAGGCACUCACCCAGGCUCUUCUCCGCCUCUUUGUUUAACAGUAGGUCUUGCAGCCUGGGCCCAGCCAUGUUUUACGUGCUCUACUCAGAAUCUCUGUCAGGGAUCUAGAGCUAGAAGGUUCCUCAGAAACCUGGCCUUCCCCUGAUGACCCGCGGAGGCCUCAGGUGGGAAGCUUGCCUGGCUAGGUCAGAAUCACCUAAGAGGACACAGCUAAGCAUAGGGAUCUGGGUCAUGCCCCCGUCCAGGGUUCACGGAGGGUGCUUGGGAAUCUGCAUUUUAAAAAGCAUUCUCCACGUAUGACUCUCAGUGGGUCUCCCACCCUGCCACAUUUUGGACUGGCAGAUGAGGAAACUGAGGGUCAGAGCAGAUGUGUUAGUCAGCUUUUUGUCACUGUGAUGGAAUGCCCAAGAUAGUUACCUUAUAAAAGAGAAAAGGUUUAUUUUGGCUUACAAUUUUGGAGUCUCCAGUCCAAGGUUGGGAGGACCCUUUGUUUGGGUACCAGGGUGGGGGGCAGAAUGUCAAGGACAGGCAGUGUUCUCCUCCCAGGGCUCACCUGGGGCUGGGACUUACUUUAUCAAGGAAGACUCAUUCCCUUUACAAAUGGAAAAAAAAGGUUACUGCACAAUCCUGCAAAGACCCCUCCUUAGAAAGGAUGUGUGAGGACAUUCCCAAGUUACUUGCCUGUCCAGCUGAGUGGCUCAGCCCCUAACUGGUGCAAAGGCUGUCUCUUCAUCCGACCCCACUAAUCACUGUCAUCUAAUCACUGCUCCAACUCUCCCACUAGUGGGAAUUGCCCCAGAUCCACUCUCUUAGCAAGCCAAGAACCCAGAGCAUAGCGAGAAGUUAUUUUUUCCAUCUGACCUAGUUUCUGUUUUCUAGCAUCUUCCGGAGUCCCUAGGUCUUCCCUCCAGAGCAACAAAGGAGAAGUCCAAACCCACUCCCCAAAGCAAUCCUGUAUUGGGGAAGAAGUGUCCUGUUCCUUUUUACUAAUAGAGAUUGGGUUCGGCUGUAUCCAACAGAAGCCGGAUUCAGGGACUUGACCAAGUGCAGAGUUGAUUGCUUCUUCAGCUUCAAGGCUGGGCUGGGCAGAAAGGGCAGGGCAGGGCAGGUGUAACAGCUCUGUGAGGUUCUUGGUGUCCCUGUUCCUUUCUAUCUUUCUGCCCCACCAAAUAGGAAGCUUUUAGCCUCGUGAUUACCUCCCACUUCCAAGGUAGCUGCUGUGCCUCCAGAUUCCAAUCAACUCUCCAGGCAGAAAUUUAUUUAUUUAUUUUUUAAAAGAGAGAGUGAGAGAGAGGUAGAGAGAGAGAGAAUUUUAAUGUUUAUUUUUUAGUAUUUGGCGGACACAACAUCUUUGUACGUGGUGCUGAGGAUUGAACCCCGGGCCACACGCGUGCCAGGCGAGCGCGCUACCACUUGAGCCACAUCCCCAGCCCCAGGCAGAAAUUUAAAGAGCAAAACAAGAAGGAAAUAAAAACUUUCCCCCAAAAUACCCAGCACACUUCUGGCUAUCUCACAUAAGUUAGAAUCGGCCAUGUGGCCUUCUCAAGUUGCAAAGGAGCAUGGAUUAUCUUUUAUAUUUUCAUGUUUGUUUGUUUUUUAAUUUGUUCAGAUUUGGAUACAUUUGCUGUCUCAAAUAAACCCACGGUGCUAUUGGGAAAGAAAGGGUGAAUGGCGCUGGUCAGCACAGACAGUUGGGCAGCCUCACCUCCACACCCACGGGACUUCAGGAGUUUGGGCACGUGUCUGAUGAAGUGCAAUUCCUGAGGGUCUGUGGGAGCCCGGAGCUCCUGGGUGCCCUGACAUUUUAGACACUCAACAAAUGCUGAUUCUUCUCUAGCUUCCGGUGAGUCCUCCUGUAGCUCGAGUUGAGUCCUCUCCUCCUGGACCUGCUCCCAGGCUCUGCAGCAAUGUCCCU